AGAGGCAGGCAGAUCUCUGUGAGUUUGCGGCCAGCCUGGUCUACAGAGUGAGUUCCAGGACAGCCAAGUCUACACAGAGAAACCCUGUCUCGAAAA
rnacentral:miRNA from 1 species